CACAGGGUAUGGGCUUCUGGAAAGACGUACUAGUGCGCUAAUAAGGUAUGUGAUGAAAUAGUACAACUUUGUCUGAUAGAAAGCUACUAUUAUUGGAGUAUACACAUUCACAUGAUUGCUUUUACAACCAUUUUUAGGGUACCUUUACGUAUGUACUUGAGAUGGAAACUCUUUCUGUUUGUUUAAUGUUCCCAUUUGCAAAUUUUCAUCAUGUGAUUGCUUUUACAGUCAUUGCCGCUUUGUCCAUAUUUGGUUAAGAUGCACUACAUUCUAUAUCUUUCUACGCCAAGCAUAUUUCUCUUUUCUAUCUGUAGUUCCUCGCAUACAUAAGCAAAUGACAAUGCAUAUUAUGUUCCCUCUCCCUCUAUAUAUCUCCAAAUUCGUGGUAGCAAGAAUCACUACGUACUGACCACAUCGUCAAUAUGAAUUUAGACCUAUAUGAUGGAAUCAAUAAGACAACAUAGCUUUCAUUCUUAUAAAGGAGGUCAGUUCCAUUCAAACCAUUUAGCUAUGUGCAGUUAAAUUGUCAAUCAUCUAUUAGAUGCUUUUUACAUCAAAAGGGGUGAUUUCACCCAACUUUUUACAUGUGGUCACCGUCAUAGAUAAUAUAAAAUAUUUGCAGUUCAAACUGACGUCAAGAAUAUAGAUCCUUUGAAAGUUAAGCUUGGUUACCAUGCGUACAACUGGUGACUGAUCGUACAAGCAUUGCGGCCAUUGAUUCUUGCUUUCAUUUAGGUUAAUUAGCACUAGAAUCAUUAGUAUCGACACAAAUGCAAACAGAGUCAUUAGUAUCUUCUAACGGCUAGCAUUGACUUGAUUAAUUUGAUGUGUUGCCACCAUCACAGGCCAGCAGCCCGGGGCGCAAUGAUGUGCCUGUGAACUCGCCGCUGUCCGUGCAUAUCGGGCAUCCAAGCGUGCCCAGUAGUCACAUGGUCGCCCCGCAGAUGAAAAAAUCAGGUACUUUACAACCUCAACUUUUGCAACUUCGAUUAAUUUACAUCAACUUCUUCUCUGUUGGCUUUGGAUCUGAAACUUCGAUUAAUUUACAUCAACUUCUUCUUUGUUAACUACAUCACCAUCGUAAAAUUGGUUUCCUUUUAAUUCAGGUUUCACUUGUAAGAUGUAGGAAACAGUGUGACUCAACGACAUUUUGACUUUGUUAAUUUACAUCACCAUUCAAAAUUUAGGUUUCAAAAUCAUGUAUGUUCUACAAUCUGAUAGACAUUUUCCAGUUUUUGCAGAUAUUAUGAGGCCGAGUUGGGCGUUGAACCAGCAGUCCACGGUGGCGAGGAACCUGGUUACGAUAGGGUUGCGUAUCAUCGAGCCCGGCACUGAGCAUGUGCAUGGCCCAGCCUUCUGCUGACGGCAAUGCGGCUCCCUGUUUAUUAUUGACGUGAGAUUAUGUGGGAUGUAGGAUGUCCGCUUGUCCCAUCAAAAAUUAUGUGGACACAUAUGGGCCUCCCACUUAUAUUAUGCAGCAGAUGUAGUUGUGGAUGUGGAUUGGGGUUAGUUUGUUGAGUUACAGUUGUCUGAGCGAAAUAAUUUUCCUACUUUAGAAAAUAUGGCAAAUAGUGUUGCAUUAGAGAUGGCUUUGUAACAAAUUGCAUGAGUAGUUUAUAUUUUUUCCAUCAAGUCGUACAAUUUUUUGGUUAGGUUCGAAGGGUAAAUGCAUUGGUUGGUUGCUUCAAGACUUGAUAAUGGACAUGGUGGCAUAUUUGUGGCAUGCCCAAUAAUGGACAUCGUAUUUUUGUUUCACAGUAAUGCAUGAC
rnacentral:lncRNA from 1 species